GAGGAAACUCGGAUUAAUACUCGAUAUUGUUUUAGAUUCGCAUGAAUUUAAAAUUAAAGCUCCGGCGGUACAAGAUUGUCAUGCGUGACAUUAGAUAGUUGGUGAGGUAACGGCUCACCAAGUCAGCGAUGUCUAGGGGUUCUGAGAGGAUUAUCCCCCACACUGGUACUGAGACACGGACCAGACUCCUACGGGAGGCAGCAGUGAGGAAUAUUGGUCAAUGGGCGCAAGCCUGAACCAGCCAUGCCGCGUGCAGGAAGACUGCCCUACGGGUUGUAAACUGCUUUUGUACAGGAAGAACCCCACUACGUGUAGUGGUUUGACGGUACUGUACGAAUAAGGAUCGGCUAACUCCGUGCCAGCAGCCGCGGUAAUACGGAGGAUCCAAGCGUUAUCCGGAUUUAUUGGGUUUAAAGGGUGCGUAGGCGGUUAAUUAAGUCAGUGGUGAAAUCCUGCAGCUCAACUGCGGAACUGCCAUUGAUACUGGUUGACUAGAGUAUGCGUGAAGUUGGCGGAAUGCGACAAGUAGCGGUGAAAUGCAUAGAUAUGUCGCAGAACCCCAAUUGCGAAGGCAGCUGACUAAAGCAUAACUGACGCUGAUGCACGAAAGCGUGGGUAUCGAACAGGAUUAGAUACCCUGGUAGUCCACGCUGUAAACGAUGAUAACUGGUUGUGCGCGAUACACAGUGCGCGACUGAGGGAAACCAUUAAGUUAUCCACCUGGGGAGUACGUUCGCAAGAAUGAAACUCAAAGGAAUUGACGGGGGCCCGCACAAGCGGAGGAACAUGUGGUUUAAUUCGAUGAUACGCGAGGAACCUUACCCGGGCUUAAAUGUAGAUUGCAUGAUUCAGAGAUGGAUCUUUCUUUCACGAGACUAUUUACAAGGUGCUGCAUGGUUGUCGUCAGCUCGUGCCGUGAGGUGUCGGGUUAAGUCCCAUAACGAGCGCAACCCCUAUCCUUAGUUGCCAACAGGUCAAGCUGGGAACUCUAAGGAGACUGCCGCCGCAAGGCGCGAGGAAGGUGGGGAUGACGUCAAAUCAGCACGGCCCUUACGUCCGGGGCUACACACGUGUUACAAUGGCAGGUACAGAGGGCAGCUACAUGGCGACAUGAUGCUAAUCUCGAAAGCCUGUCUCAGUUCGGAUCGUAGUCUGCAACCCGACUACGUGAAGUUGGAUUCGCUAGUAAUCGCAUAUCAGCCAUGAUGCGGUGAAUACGUUCCCGGGCCUUGUACACACCGCCCGUCAAACAAUGGAAGCUGGGGGUACCUGAAGUCUGUAACCGCAAGGAGCGGCCUAGGGUAAAACUAGUAACUGGUGUUGAGUCGGAACAAGGUA
rnacentral:rRNA from 1 species